rnacentral:rRNA from 1 species
GAUGAACGCUAGCGGCAGGCCUAAUACAUGCAAGUCGAACGGUCAGUAGCAAUACUGAUAGUGGCGCACGGGUGCGUAACACGUAACUAACCUACCUAUAACUGGGGGAUAGCCCGCCGAAAGGCGGAUUAAUACCGCAUAAGCUAGUUAAACGGCAUCGUUUGAUUAGUAAAGAUUUAUUGGUUAUAGAUGGGGUUGCGGGUCAUUAGCUAGUUGGUAAGGUAACGGCUUACCAAGGCGACGAUGACUAGGGGAGCUGAGAGGCUGGUCCCCCACACGGGCACUGAGAUACGGGCCCGACUCCUACGGGAGGCAGCAGUAGGGAAUAUUGGGCAAUGGGCGAGAGCCUGACCCAGCCAUGCCGCGUGCAGGAAGAAGGCUUUCUGAGUCGUAAACUGCUUUUGACAGGGAAGAAUAAGCACUACGUGUAGUGCGAUGACGGUACCUGCAGAAUAAGCACCGGCUAACUCCGUGCCAGCAGCCGCGGUAAUACGGAGGGUGCGAGCGUUGUCCGGAUUUAUUGGGUUUAAAGGGUGCGUAGGCGGCCCGUUAAGUCCGGGGUGAAAGCCCGCUGCUCAACAGCGGAACUGCCCUGGAUACUGACGGGCUUGAGUACAGACGAGGUUGGCGGAAUGGACUGAGUAGCGGUGAAAUGCAUAGAUACAGUCC